rnacentral:lncRNA from 1 species
UAGUAAGAAAACAAUAGUUUAGUAAUUUUUUUUGAGGAAAAAGAAAUAUAAGGUAGCAAAUGAAAAAAAAUCUAAAAUAUAAUGUAGGGAUUGAUUAAAACCAGUAAUUCAAUGGUGUCUUGUAGAGUGUGGGAAAUCUUAGUGUAGAUUAUAAUAUUAGAAAUAAUAAUGAAAGUGACAAAAUUAUUUAUUAAAAAAAUUAAAUGAAUGGUUGUUUCUUUACUGAAUUAGUUAUUCUUAUGAAAAGAUGUCUUUUUAUUUGAUGCAAAGAAAUGUGCCUUUUUAUGAAGAGAUACGCUUAGGAGUGUAAUGUGGGUCGUGUCAUGCCGGCACGGCCCACAAUACCCGGGCUGAAACGGGCCAAGGGUCAGCCCGGCCCGGAUUCAUAUUCGGGCUGUGUCACGCCCCAGAUGUCUCGUUCCCCGGGCACGUCGACAAAUCUGCUGUAUACAAACGAAUUUUCCUUGUAUACGAAGCGACAGCUGUACCUGUAGAUAUACAAUACUGCAAACAGUAGCAUAGAGCUGCUCGAAUAAACAAAAGCUAAACAAACUGAGUUUCAUAUACAUAGAUCAAAUCCAAAAUACAGAGUUACUCGCAUUGGCGAGUUAAGUAGGCUAUGUACAUAAACUCGAAACAAAACAUCUACCUGCAGUAGGGGGCCUCUAGCUCUGCUCGUCGGGUAGGGCUCUAACUUGCGACGCCCUUGCCUCGAUCCUGAUCCGCGGAAAGUGCAGCAGCCGAAACCUGUGGCUCUGCAAAAACAGGAGUAACAACUGGGCGUGAGAACUACUGUAAAAACAAGUAGUCCUCAGUGGGUACCGCCCAAAACAACAUCGGUCCACCCACUAAGUCUCCAGAAGGGAGCAAGAAUAGUCGGAAAAGCAGGAAGUAAACUCUACCGCUAUCAAUCACUAUACUAUCAUGCUCUACACUAACCAACUGUAGGAAAUGUCAAAUCUGACCCAAUCCAAUCGGGACUGUAAGCCUACCCGUCCCUGGGACUGUGAAUACACCCGUCCCUGCCCAGUUGCGACUAUCCAGCUCCAUCCACACUAACUGAUCCGUGGAGAGCAAGUCCAACCGGCAUGAGCGACACCAACGCGAAGCACAAAGCCCGUCUCCGGAGUGGCACUCGUGGGCAUGGACGAAGCUAUGUGGAGGCCCAAGGUGGCCAUGGCCCCCCUCAACUUUUCAAUAUUUGCUUAAUGGUCCUUCAAUUUUUUUUUUUUUUUUGUGUAUCAUGGAUAGAUUUGGCCCUCCUAGAUUUUCAAUAUUUACUUAAUAGCAUGGUGCCAACAUAACUCUCUCUCUUUCUCCUAAUCGAUAUACUCUUUUUAUGGAUGAAAAUAUAUUAAAAUCUAUUUUUUGUAAUAUAUUUCUCUACUCUAAAAAUUUUAUUUAAUAAUUUUUUAAAACUUUUAUUUAUCUUAGAUGAGCUCUUUUAUUUGACUAAAUCAAGAAUUGCACUAAAUUUAAUAGCUAUGUUAAUUUUAUUUACUAAAAAGCUAAAAAAUUACUAUUAGAUUUAGUAAAAUUUCUAAGUUAUUUUAAUGUAAUGAUAUAAAUAAAAUAAUUAGAAGUUAAACAUCUGAAAAUAAAAAAAAAUAAAGUUCAUACUUUUACAUUAUUUAUUUAAUUAAUAAUUUUUUAAUAAAAGUUUUUUAAUUAGGAAAAAUUUUGUUUAUUAUUUAUUACUAAAAUUUUUAUUUAAAUAUAUUUUGGCCCCCCUCAAGAUUGAAUCCUAGCUUCGUCCCUGCUCGUGGGAGCUACCCAACCGAGUAUGCACCGUAUCUCUGUCGAGCUCAAUCAGGCUCUCAAAAGCCAAAGUCCAGUAACCGACUCAAACUGGUCUAACAACCAACAGGUAACGUGCCCUCGGCACAAUCCGACGCCAAAAAAGUGAUACGGGUCCACCGUCAACCCCGACGGCACCCAACAGUCCGGAACAGCCUGAACGCUACUGUAAAAGUAUACUCGGCAUCCCGGCACAAGCGUAACCGAAAGCUAAACUAUCUGGAAUACUCACUAUGAGGAUACUGCUACAGUAUAAAAUAAUACAACGGCCCCUAUGGCUAAAUCAGGUAGUUUAAAUAUAUGACGAUCAUAAUCGCGAGUUUUCUCCUAAGUCUUAUCCAAGUCCAACAUGUAUAUAUAUAUAUAUAUAUAUAUCCAAAGAUAAUAACUCAGCUCCAAUUCAGAUUAUUAACCAUACUAAAUCAAUAAACCGAGCAAUUGCGCCACACAAGAUAAUUCCACAAUUACAUGUCGACUAUAUAGGCACUUAGGAGUAAACCGAUGAUUAACCCACCUUAAUCGCAAAUCCCCGACGGUGAAGAAGGUCACCGGAGUCCCUGUCAAGCUCGGCGCAGCUCCCCGAACCAGCGACAACACGCUCCAUGGGUCUAAACAUAGAAACCCAUAUUAAGCAUCAAUUCUGCCCAAAACAGCAGCAGCAGAAAGAAAUAGGGAUACGACCUAACAAACCUUCACCAAAUCCAGCAAAUAAGGGCUUCGUGGAUUCCUCUCGAAGUCCCGAAUCCAACGAACCAAGUCCCGUCGAAAUCCGACAUUCCUACGUCGAGUACGAGCCGAAACACUAACGGUCAACGCUGAAAAUCAGUAAAAUCAGCACGCGAGCUCAAAACCGUGCGUUCAAGUAAUCCAAGAAGGAAAGUUAGGUACCCACAUCGACAGCGAAUCCAGCGCCGGUGCGACGUCGAGGACGGCGAAAAUGCACCCUCGCCCAGCCUCCAUGCGACGUUACGGCGACAAACGUGCGCUCAAACGGCUCGGCGAUGCGACGUCGGCAACGAACGCUCCACCCAAGUUCCUCCUCCUCGCGUAUGGCUCCAGAGACAGAGAGGGAGGAAAUUUUAAUUAAGGAGGCAUG